AUGUGGAAGCUAGGUUCUCUUGGCUGGGCAAGGAUCAGCUCCUUCCACUGCUCCCCUGUGGGACUGAGCUAAGGGCAUGAAAGAAGCAGAGCCUUGUUGGGGUCUUUUGUGAUACUGAAAGUCCGCAGACCUAUCAGACGAGAAAACUGAGGCUUGGAGAGAAGUUGAGUAAUGUGCCAAGACCACAUAACUAGAAAGAUUUGGGACCAGUGUGGAAAGAACUCCAGCAAGUUUCAAAGUCUGAAUCGUCCUGCACCCUGCCAUUGACUUUCUCGGAGCAGCAGUCGUCUGCCUUGGGAAAAUGGUUCAAUGGGUUGAAAAACAACAAUGACAGUUUCUGUUUCUUGAAGUUUUUUAAGUGCCAAGCACUUCAGUGUGUAUUUCCAAACAUUUAUUUGCUCAUGUAGUAAAGUGUUGUUGAGCCUUUAUUCUAUACUAGUUACCAAAGGUACAGUAAUUAGCUAAAUCAACCUGAUUCUCUCUCUCUCUCUCUCUUUCUCUUUCUUAGAUUGAGAAGCAUUCCAUUAUUAGAGUUUGAGAGAAAAAAAAAAAAAAAACAUGAGGCAGGCAAGUUAUAAAUCUCAGCAGUUGCCAAGAGGAGGGAGAUGGAGAAGCAGAAGAGAGAAAACCAUGCCUUUUGAAUCGAGGGCAGCAACAGAGGUCAGCAAGAAGCUGUCUGAAGAGGGGGUGGAGAACUGGAAUUCAGAGAAACAGUGAGAAAGUCCAGAGUGUGGGGAUACUUUAGAAUAGAAAUCAGGUUGGGGCGAACUGAAGGAAGCUACGAAAAGAAGAAAUAACAAGUUGCUAGCAAUGUCAAGAGGCCUUGAGUGAUGUGAUACUGUGAAAUCAUUUUCCACUGCAAUUAGGAUUGGGAAGAAAAUUUAAAGAAAAAGCAAAAGAAGACAAGAUGAAUGAUGAGUGCCAGACAACAUCCCUAUCAGCAACCUCUUGAAGACACCUUCUUCAAAGCCAUGAAAAGAAAAGAAAAAGUUAUCUAAUAAUCAAGCGUCAUGGUUGAAAGCAGAGGUUUUGAGGAGGAGUGGCAUGUCAAAACAAAGGUCUAAUAUUUUUCUAAAGGUAGUGUCUGGCUAUAAUUCUCAGUUUGUCAAUAAAAUAUCCAUGAAC